UACAGAGGAGCCAAGCGUUGUCCGGAUUGACUGGGCGUAAAGCGCACGCAGGCGGACGCGCGCGUGGGGUGUGAAAUCUGGCCGCUUAACGGCCAGGCGCCAUCCCAUACGGCGCGUCUGGAGUGAUGCAGAGGUCGGUGGAAUUGCCGGUGUAGUGGUGAAAUGCGUAGAGAUCGGCAGGAACACCCCAGGGGGAAACCAGCCGACUGGGCAUCUACUGACGCUGAGGUGCGAGAGCGUGGGGAGCGAACCGG
rnacentral:rRNA from 1 species